rnacentral:rRNA from 1 species
CCUACGGGAGGCAGCAGUGGGGAAUAUUGGGCAAUGGGCGCAAGCCUGACCCAGCAACGCCGCGUGAAGGAAGAAGGCUUUCGGGUUGUAAACUUCUUUUCUCAGGGACGAAGCAAGUGACGGUACCUGAGGAAUAAGCCACCGCUAACUACGAGCCAGCAGCCGCCGUAAUCCGUCGGUGGCGAGCGUUAUCCGGAUUUACUGGGUGUAAAGGGCGUGUAGGCGGGGAAGCAAGUCAGAUGUGAAAACCACGGGCUCAACCUGUGGCCUGCAUUUGAAACUGGGUUUCUUGAGUACUGGAGAGGCAGACGGAAUGCCUAGUGUAGCGGUGAAAUGCGUAGAUAUUGGGAGGAACACCAGUGGCGAAGGCGGUCUGCUGGACAGCAACUGACGCUGAGGCGCGAAAGCGUGGGGAGCAAACAGGAUUAGAUACCCUUGUAGUC